rnacentral:rRNA from 1 species
AUUGAACGCUGGCGGCAUGCUUUACACAUGCAAGUCGAACGGUAACAGGUUAAGCUGACGAGUGGCGAACGGGUGAGUAAUGCAUCGGAACGUGCCCGGUCGUGGGGGAUAACGCAGCGAAAGCUGCGCUAAUACCGCAUACGAUCUAAGGAUGAAAGCGGGGGACCGUAAGGCCUCGCGCGAUCGGAGCGGCCGAUGUCAGAUUAGGUAGUUGGUGGGGUAAAGGCUCACCAAGCCAACGAUCUGUAGCUGGUCUGAGAGGACGACCGGCCACACUGGGACUGAGAAACGGCCCAGACUCCUACGGGAGGCAGCAGUGGGGAAUUUUGGACAAUGGGCGAAAGCCUGAUCCAGCAAUGCCGCGUGCAGGAAGAAGGCCUUCGGGUUGUAAACUGCUUUUGUACGGAGCGAAAAGGUCUCCUCUAAUACAGGGGGCUCAUGACGGUACCGUAAGAAUAAGCACCGGCUAACUACGUGCCAGCAGCCGCCGUAA